CCUACGGGAGGCAGCAGUGGGGAAUAUUGCACAAUGGGGGAAACCCUGAUGCAGCGACGCCGCGUGAGUGAAGAAGUAAUUCGUUAUGUAAAGCUCUAUCAGCAGGGAAGAAAAUGACGGUACCUGACUAAGAAGCGCCGGCUAACUACGGGCCAGCAGCCGCGGUAAUACGUAGGGGGCAAGCGUUAUCCGGAUUUACUGGGGGUAAAGGGAGCGCAGACGGGUGUGCAAGUCUGAAGUGAAAGGCGGGGGCUCAACCCCCGGACUGCUGUGGAAACUGUGAAGCUGGAGUGCAGGAGAGGUAGGCGGAAUUCCUAGUGUAGCGGUGAAAUGCGUAGAUAUUAGGAGGAACACCAGUGGCGAAGGCGGCUUGCUGGACUGCAACUGACGUUGAGGCGCGAAAGCGUGGGGAGCAAACAGGAUUAGAUACCCCUGUAGUC
rnacentral:rRNA from 1 species